AAUGAAAUUGCAUUCAUAAUAUUCAAUUCAUGUUCACUACGCAAUACAUAUACAAACAAUUGUACUCUUUUGUUCAUCACAAGAUAUCAUUGAUUAAUGCAUUCAUUCAAUACACACACACACACACAAGAUUCAUUAGUUUUCUUCACAACCUCACAAAAGUUAGCUACAACCAUUAAGGAAAUACACAAGUCAGAUAUCCGAUAGGCAUGUUACAAACAGAAUGGCAAAGUUCCUAAGAGAUCAAGUGCUUGAUCACUGCUCUGCUAUAGAAUAUUAUGGAAGACCAACUCAUCAAUCGCCAAGCCGAAUCAAGCUCCAUCUGAACAAAAUGUUUCAUCCAUGUUCUCAACAAAAACAAUCACGAGGACAUCUUCAAUCAACUAGUGGACUUGCUACUUUCUAUCAUUUGUCCCUACAAAAGAACUCAUAUGUUUCAGCAAUCUUAGAAAUAAUACAAUUUCUGCAAAUUCGUGAGUUGCCCUUGAGUCCAAAGGCCCAAGAAACAGAAGGUGUACAACAUACCAGCUUGCUUACAAGAAAAGUAAAUAGAUACUUGACUGCAUGAGCUCUCUAGUAAAAAUUAUGCAUGUCUUUUUCUUUACUAUUAGAUUUGAAACAUAAAACAAACAAAGAGGCCUUUUUAUCUACUAAAUAAAGGAUCUGAAAAAUAAAGCCAGUAAUCUAAAAAAAGACUAUAAUUAUGCAAAGAUUCAAGUUACAAAAAUAACCUUAUUAGAAUAUAUAAAGCAAAGUCAGCAUAGCAGCUAGCAUAUCACAAAUGGCUUACUAUAAAAAUGUCUGAAUUUGUUGAUGAGCAAUCAGGUAUUUUCUAAGACAACAUGAGUAAGGUCUUUACUGUGAUUUCAGAGAUUACAUUCAAAGUUACUGAAUCGGCAAAAAAUCACAGAGAUUGCAGUCAUAUAUGUAGUAGUGCACUUGGUGAAAACAAGUCAAUUUACAGGACAUUGCUUGUGUUCUGGUUCAUGCAUGCUAUGAAACAUUGUGUGGUAUACAAUAGAGGUUUGCAUAUGUUAUUUUUUGUUAUGGUUAAAAUCCUGAAACUAAACAAAUGCUGCAGAAGCUACAACAACUAUGUUUCUCUAAAAAAAAGUAGUCGGGUGUAAUCGUAAUAUGUGGACUGAACUAAAAAUGGUUCCCUAAAAAUAAUGGUCAAGUAUUUUUUUUUUGUGGCUGAUCUUUAAAAGAAAGCACGCUUCAGUUCAGCUAUAACAAAGAUUUAGUAUCACGUUAUCGUGCCCAUUCUGAACCUAUGUCUUCCUGACCCAUCAAACAAAUCAUAGCAGUGUCAUCUCAUGGAAAAAAGUUAACAAGAAUAAUACUCGGGAUCAAUUGAUAUGCAGUCACAUGCAUGGAUGUACUAAAGAAUAACACAUGAUGUGUAUGUCUGACUAACAAUUAGUGUCUCUGCUUGUGCGGUAGGAACUCCAGUUUUACGGAUAUGUGCUCUGAUAAAUAUUUCAUCUCUCCGCGGGUCAUAGCCAAGAUCUUCAGCCUGCAACAAAUUUAUUUUCCCUAGUAAUUAGAAAAACUAACAAAUAUAAUUAAGAAACAUAGUUAUAAAAAUAUAGGAAACAUAGUUAUGAAAAUAUGGAUAGGAGAAGUGGGCAUACAGUACUGAUUUUGUGACUUUGAUUUGUGAAUUGCACGGACCUCUCCACUUGAGCAGACUAAAACAGAAGUUAAAAUCUGAUAUGCCACAAAGAGACUUGAGCAUACAGUAAGUGGAGGCUAUGUUAACAGAUUCGGAAGAUUUCUUGAUUCAAUACUCGAACAUUAAACUUGUGAUCUGUGAGACAAUAAACAAGUAGAAAUAAUGAGCACCUAGAUUAUAAGAAGACUACAUAUUAGGAGUGAAAGAACAAGAUAUCCAGUACAGGAAAACGAAAAGACAUAGACAUGACAUACACAGAAGGCACUACUAUGGACCAUACACAAUCGUAAGGCUAACCCUCAGUGCCUGUUUUGACGGCAUAAACAGAUAAAACAAAAGGAUCACAGGUAGGUUUACAAUCUUCCCCGACAUAUUAGAAAUCUCAAUAUUUGGUGUUAUGUUGAUUUGUCAAAAAUGAAGUAAAACAACAAUUGGGCUAUAACAAGAGGGCUAUGUUCAACUUACUAAUUGACCGUCAGUACAAAUAGGUAUCUCCGAAUAACUAAUACAAUCCCAGCCACUAGUCCAAGGAUUUCAAAUGACAAUUGAAGAAUUGAACAUAUAAGAAGAUCACCUCACGUCGUCAGUAGCAGCCAAUGGUUGUGGUCACAGGAUGGCAUAGCGUACUCCACGCAUCUCCACUGGUAUUGUUCUGUACUGCAGAGGGAGCACCACCUUGACCAACUGAACAAAACUAGUAUGGAAGCAAUAACAAACUCCUGUGCAAACAUCCAUGAGAAAAUUACCUGCUGCCGUGAGGAGAGAAUUCAUAAAUGUCAUGUGCAAAAAGGGUUCAUUAUUUAGACAUUCAAGCUGAGUCAAAAUUGACAGUAGAAAACCAGGUCACCUAUACAAAUUAAAAAGGCAAACAAGCGCACACGUUAAUCUUUCCUAUGUUUAUAGGUUGUUCUACUUUUCUUAUUGAGUAAUGGGUGUGCAUCAAAGCCACUGGGCCUUCAUAGGCUUGAUGUGUGGAUAAUAUAGAUUUGGGUUCAGAAUAGGUGGGCAGGAUUUUGAAUCGCAGGAAAAUCUAGCACGUGAAGCACACUUGCUGGACUUCAGACUAAAACAAAACAAAUCUAUUCAGCAAUUCAAAAAGAAGCUCAUGAAGUGUUUUUUUGAACACCCUAAAAAAUUAAUCAACUAUUGCAGACAAAAACAAGGAGGUAUUAUCACAGUAUAUCAUUGACCUAUAUUUUUUAUACACAUUUACUGCAGACUAUCUUCUUUAUAAGUUUUCUAACUAACAACUAACAGACUGUCUUUCCCUCACAAAAAAGAACAAAUAGACUGUCUUUAUGAACAUUACAUCCAUCCAUUUAUAUAUGUAUAUAUAUAUAUCUGACUCAAAUAUAUUUUUCUCACAUGUGUCGCCAUGGUUCUUCACAUGAACUUCCUUUUCUUUGAGAAAUUAUAGCACGGCAGUUUUUUUUCACAUGAUGCAGUGACCUAGAAGUGAACACACGUACUAAGAAAGUCAUGGAUGCAAUGCAAAAUAUGCUCUACUAACUAAUGGGCAUGCUUCAAGUUAUUUUUCAGAAUCCCUGCGAGUAUUGUCUUUGUGGCGCAAUACAGUACAGCAGAAAAGCACAUGUGUGUGAAGCCACUCAAAAAGAAAAUUAAAAGAUCUGACAAAGACAAGCAAACAUUAUCAGGCAUAUCAUUUACUACCUUUUAUGUCAUGUACUGAUAUACCCCAUACUAUCUGCAGCCUAAUAAUUUUGCGUAUUGUAUUAAUACUCCCUUUUUAGGGGGUCAAUACUAGUUUCCGAGAUGACUUACAGUAGCAAUUCCCAUCCAUCGAGCGACUCAUAUUCAUUGAGAAAACAGAACAACACCACACCAAUAAUGCCAUUUCCUAGACGUGGAACCUCCUG
rnacentral:lncRNA from 1 species